GUCGAAAGGGUAAUUGACGUAGUUGUGGAAGUUGUGGUGCAGCUGGAGGACAUAGUAUAUUCGGUGGAAGAACUGGAAGUGGUAGAAUUGAUAGAUGAUGUAGACAUGGUGGAACUGAAAGAGGCGAAGGAGAUGGUGGACAUGGAACAGGUGAUGGAGUGGAUUGAGUUGAUGGAGGUGGUAUAGAUGACAGAGCCAAGGGAGGUGAUGGAGGUGGUAGAGAUGGUGGAGUUGAGGGAGGUGGUGGAGUUGAGCGAGGUGGUGGAGGUGAUAGAGGCAGUCGAGUGAUGGAGGUGGGACAAGUGAUGGAGUGGAUUAAGUUGAUGGAGGUAGUAUAGGUGAUGGAGUCAAGGGAGGUGGUGGAAAGGAUUGAGUUGAUGGAGGUAGUGUAGGUAAUGGAGUCAAGGGAGGUGACGGAGGUCAUGGAGCAGGUAUAUCUGUGUUUAACUGUGGGUACAAAUGAGUGAGUAGAUAAAUUGCUUCAAUGUUUGAUGGAAAAAGAAAGCAUGUUUUUAAAACUUGAGCUUGUUUCUGAGAUUAGCAAUAAAAGCAAAAUAUCCUAGAACUCCCAGGGUGGGAGCAGGUGAGGGAGACUCAGAUAAUUCAGUUCACCACCAGUGUUACUCUUCGCUGUCGGCCCUUGCAAAGGAGAAGGGAGGACAACAGGGACAAGGCUUGCUAAGCCCUUUCCACUACUGUUGAAUUUGGGCUUUGAUGCUAAGCAGAGUCUGCUUAAAAAGAUCAUAGCACCAAGGCCAGCUGGGAAAAUGACAGGUCUGAGCUUGUGUAGCUGAAGCCAUACAAUAGUGUGGAGUGAUGGGCUGUGAAGUUGAAAUGCUUAUUCCUUUGUUUGCUGUUCCUAAUAAGAGAAAAUGGAUGGGAGAGACUGUUGGCUUUACAAACACCCACUGCCAAUACUGGUGGUUGUAUUUAUGGGACUGAGCCACAGCCACUCACUGAAUUCAGGGGGAGUAACUGUAAAUACCCACAAAAGACAUGAUGUGUGGGGGUGAUGACCAUCAUCGCUACUUUCUUGAGCCUUUAACAUAUAUAUUCAUCCCAAGAAUUGUAUAAAGGAGUUAUUAUAUACCCAUUUCACAGAUGGAAAAACCCGAGGCCCAGAGAGGGGAAGUGACUUGCCCUUAUAGCCCAGCCAGGACUCGCAUCCCAUUCACCCAUUUACUACUCUGUGAAUGCUUGCAGUCCAUGGCUUUGCCUUUUGGGGGCAAGAGCCUCUCUGCACUUUUCUGGAGGAGCCUGGAAGGUGGAGGACAGGAACUUCUAAGGCAGAUGCCAGCAGUGUUAACAUCUGAGCAGGCUUUCCCUCUCUCCCCCUUUCUUUUUGCUCUUUCCAUCCUGCCCUCUAUCUACUUUGGACGAUCAGAAGGCCAGCAGCUGCCAGCAACCUUGUGGUGAAAACCCAGCAGGAGUGUUGGAAUUGGGGGUCAAGGGGACCAUCACCAUCCAAGGACCAGCCAGGUGUCCACCACAGAGCCUGCUGGGUAUGUGACAGAGCUGUGCCCAUGCCCAGGUUUGAUCCCAGAAGUUGGGAUCAAAGGAACCUGGACAUCCAGUGCAUCAGCCAGGACAAGAACUAUCCCCAUGGCAACCAAGGGAUGAAGAGGCCACAUUAACCCUUCUGAGGGCAGGCCUGGUUGAGAGCCUCUUCACCAACCCCUCCUGGGUGUGGCACUAUACAGGCGACAAGGGGAGUCACAUCUCCCAAAGGACAUCCCCCAGUCUCACCACCAUUCCAAGAGAAAGGCAAGGCUGAGAUGUUAUACACAUUGGAUGAAGGGCAACGUUGAGGUGAACUCAGAGGGACGGACAGUACAAGGACUUCGGAUUUUAUUCUCCUAACAAUGCAGAGCCGUAGAGGAGGUAAAGCAGGUGAGGGACA
rnacentral:lncRNA from 1 species